AGUUGGGUAAAGAUUUGUGUCUCUCUCAGGAGAUAAAUGAUAUAAAGGCACAGCUGUGCUAUCCUUCUGCAAUUUUCUCUUCAGCAUGACACAUGCCCUUAGCCUUCAGCUAAAGCCCUAAAGUGUCCAGGUCUGUCUCAACCCUGGCCACUGCCCUUUGGACACGUUUCCUUUGGCCACUACCUGUGCCUGGUGGUUUCCACAACUGGAGACAUGUUUCCAGCUAGGCUCCAUCCAGAACAUGAAUGGUGGGGCUUUAAGCAUCAGCCAAUCCCAUCCCAGGCUUCAAGGGUCUAACAUGCUGUCUUAGUUUGCUGUUUGCUUGAACAGUAAGCACCUGACUGCUCAUAGUUCCGAAAGCUAAACUUCCAAGGUCAGGUUUCGUCAUAGCGGUGAUAACACUAAGUAGCUCAGCUGGACUGGGUAGCAUGAAUCUGUAAAGCCAGCGCCCCCACGGGAAGAUGAGACUUGGACAGGCGAAUGCCUGGAAACUCAGGGGCCGGCUAUCCUGGCUUAGGUGGCAGUGAGCAAUUGGUUUCUGUGAUAGUGGGUGGGUAGUUGUGGUGGCUGACUUCACACUGGAGAAGCUGAGAACCCAGUAGCUGCACAGUUCAUGGGGCUGGAUGCCUCAACAGUUCUAGUAAGGCUGAACACUAGAAGGUUUCUGGAGGGUCACUGUUGGAAGCCUGAAGAAGCUGGAGUCUGAUGUUAGCUGAGGUUGGCAGCAGCAGCAGCAGCAGCAGCAGCAGCAGCAGCAUAGAUGCACAGGCUGGCAAGCAAUACUGUUCUCCUCCCCCACCUUGGGACCUUUUAACUUCUGGAUUGUGGUGAGAAGGCACUGCCACUCUUGGAGGGGGGUGUCUUCCUGCUCAAUUAAUCCUUCCUAGAAGUGCCCCCAUAAACCCAUCCCCAAAGGCAUAUCCAAUCAGAUGGACAGUCACGAUUGGCCAUUAUACCAGCACCUUUGUGGUUGUCUGCUGGGGAGUCCUCUUGGGAGAAACAGAUAUUUUAAUAUUCCUAAUCUGAAGCUUGCAGGCAGUCUUCUCUGGUGUGAGGAGAAAGCCCUAGCAAAAGGCGGCUGGAACUCAGCAGGAACUCAGUGAAAUAGCAAAAUGGAUGGAGAGAGGAGAGCUCCAAGGAGCUCUGCCACUGAUCUUAUACAUGCUGUGACAUCUGGAGAUGAAGCAUCUCCUUUGUGACUGUGAGGGAUAAGCGAGAAGACGACAAACCAAAGGUGCACACAGAAGUGGGUGCAGCAGGGUUGGUGGGAGGGAUGGGGGAAUCCGCACUCCUUGGUGUGACUGCUACACUAAACUGACCCAGCAUUCCUAGUGCAUGAAAUAGCUGUGUCUGUCACUCUCCAAGUCACUGUUACUGUGGUGUCCUGUUACUUGUUGUUAAGUGAAUUUCACUGGAAACAGAGCUCUGGAAUGAAGAGCUGGGAAAGUCAGCUCAAACGGCUUAGCAGACACCGACACCCUGUCUCAGUGUUUGCUUUAAGGGAAGUUGAGAUGUAAUUGUAAGUAAAUGCUUGUUAACAGACAGGUGAACGGGUAGCGGGCGAGGUACCAUCGUGUUAACAGACAGGUGAAUGAUAGCAGGAUGGACACCUCCAUGUUAAGAGACAGGUGAGCCAUCAGUGCAGGGAGCGCCGAUUUCUAUGUGUUGAGAGACUCAGUUCUUAUGCCUUUGGCUAACGACUGUGUACUUUGGGCCAUCUUUUGUCGUCUGAUCCCAUAUUAAGACAUCAUCUGACAUUAAUUGUUGGUUUCUCAGAUUCUUUGCUAUUCUGCAAUGGCUCAAAGGUCACUAAUAAAGACUUCUGGCCAGUUUAUUAAUAGUCACAGCUAUUUUUACUUCCGCUUGUUGCGGUGCAGCUCUGUUGUAGUAAUGGAAACACACGGACACUGUUUUCUUUCGGUGUCUUUUGUAGGAGCUGGGUAGGGAAAGGAUUGUACAGGGUGUCUUGGCAUCACCAGGAUAAGUAGCUUUGGUGUUAGGCACAACUGCAAGUUGUCUCCUUGUCAAGAUCUCUUUGUUGCAAGUGUGAGACUCCAAUCCAAGCACACAGGGAAUGUGUUAGCUCCAGAGACACGACUGCAGUGGUUACGUUCACAAAGUGUUGGCUCCAGCGGUUCUGGUGGGGCGCGCGCCCUCUCUGCUCUGUGCUCCUCCCCUUUGCUCUUGGUUUCUUUCCACUUACCUCUCUGGUUCUCUGAUUUCGCCUUCUCAUGGGCACACACACACACAAUCCUCAUCUCACCUUGUUUCUAAAUAUUCCGCUCUAAUCCCAUGCCUGCAAAAUGGCAGCCAAGCUCCUGGUUGCUUUCACGUUUUCUGCGUAGCCUUUCCCGGUCCUCUAGCAACCUCGCGAGGUCCCUGAUUGGGCUUCCCUCCGUCAAUCACAGUGACCAAGAUAAAAGAUUCUGAUUGGUUGUCCUGGGCCAAUGCCUGUAGCAGUGGGUCGAUCACGAGAAAGAGAAUACUUCAGUCAUGGAUGGAGGGACAUCCAGGGCAGUCAACAGAAGGCAGAUAGGGAUUCAUGCUGGGCAGACAUGUGGAGUGGCUGCUGCCACCACCACCGUCUCAGAUCCACAUAUCCAAAUUGGAUAGCCAGAAGUCCCGUCCCCAAAGCAACCGGCAUGUUUAAUCCUCUGACCCCUCUGUGACUUUGAGGAAAGAGACAAACACGCUCACUCCCUUCCUAUAUGUAGGAUCCGGGUUGAGACUAUCUCGGAGACAAGGACUGGGCACAGGCUCUUUGAGCGACACACCCAGAGCAUGAGGCUGUAUUAGUGAAACGGGGAGCAUUGAUAAAAGUGUGUUAAUGAAAUCAGGAAAUAGAACUCAGGUGCCCUUCCCCCAAGACCUUCUAAGAAGUAAUACCAAGUUGUAUCAUUCCAAACUAGGUGUGGCAGCGCACACUUGUAAACCCAGCCGAAGCAGGAAGAGCUCAAGGCCAGCCUGGGCUGCUUGGAGGCUAUGCCAGGAGUCAUUUGUGGCCCAUUUGACUUGACCGAGUGAAGGAGAACACAGCGACUACUCUCAGAGAGAUGCAGGAGUUCAAGAGGCAUCUGUGGGCAAAGCCUAGCCUGACCUCUGUUAUGAAGGAUCCCAAAGCUGGCCUGGGCCCCCCCGUAGGCUUCUGCGGUCACCUGUUAAUUGCUCCCUCUGCUUUUGGCUCAACCCUUAACCAGUGGGGCACACUGCAGCCCCAAAGGCUUCAGGGCUUUCACACCUUACAGGUUCUGGCUACACUGACUGGACUGAUUGCUAGGUUAACAAUAAAGAUUUUUGUUGGGGGAUGGGGAUUUAGCUCAGUGGUAGAACGCUUGCCUAGUAAUCGCAAGGCCCUGGGUUCGGUCCUCAGCUCAAAAAAAAAAAAAAAAAAAAAAGUUUUUGUCUCCCGAACUGAGGAUUCUAAAUGUUUCCUCUGAAGCUCGCACCUGAGUCCUGCUGAGAAUGUCUUGCUAAGUUGCUUACUCACUGGCCCUAAUAAAAGAGCUUGGUAGUUCCUGGGGAUAGUUAAAACCUUCAAGAUUCUUCAGAAAUAGAGACAGGGUGAGGUAAGCCAGCGCUUGAUGUACUGGAAUGUUCUUCAGAUCAACUUUUGCCUGUGGAACUCAUGAUGGAGAAGCAUUUCCUGUUAUAAACGGAAGCCUGGCUAUGAUGGGGCCACUUUUCCAGCAGCUAACAAGCAGCCAGCAGCCUCCCCUGCAAUCCGGCUUCUUCAUUUUCUCAGAUGUCAAAGGGUGUUUUCUUCAGUGAUGUCACCUUCCUUGGAAUUCUUAACACAGCCAUCCAGGAAGUCACUUGGAGAGCAAUGUGAGCUGGCAGAAUUGAAACCCGAAUGUCAUCCUUUAGCUCUAAAUUGUCUUCUGUGAAUGUGUAAACUACAGGGCUAUAGACUAUGCCCACCAGUCAAAUCUGGACCUCUGCUUGUUCGUGUCAAUAAAGUUUUAUUAGAAUAGUCAGAUUACA